UCCCCUGUAGCUCAAUCUGGCAGAGCAUUCGGCUGUUAACCGAAGGGUUGAAGGUUCGAGUCCUUCCGGGGGAG
rnacentral:tRNA from 1 species